rnacentral:rRNA from 1 species
AUUGAACGCUGGCGGCAGGCUUAACACAUGCAAGUCGAGCGGUAACAGGAGAAGCUUGCUUCUCGCUGACGAGCGGCGGACGGGUGAGUAAUACUUAGGAAUCUGCCCAGUAGUGGGGGAUAGCUCGGGGAAACUCGAAUUAAUACCGCAUACACCCUACGGGGAAAAGGGGGCGCUUGCGCUCUCGCUAUUGGAUGAGCCUAAGUCGGAUUAGCUAGUUGGUGGGGUAAAGGCCUACCAAGGCGACGAUCUGUAGCUGGUCUGAGAGGAUGAUCAGACACACCGGGACUGAGACACGGCCCGGACUCCUACGGGAGGCAGCAGUGGGGAAUAUUGGACAAUGGGGGCAACCCUGAUCCAGCCAUGCCGCGUGUGUGAAGAAGGCCUUUUGGUUGUAAAGCACUUUAAGCAGUGAAGAAGACCUAACGGUUAAUACCCG